rnacentral:lncRNA from 1 species
UUAUUAAGGAUUGUAUAGUACUUAUGUUUGGGUGGGGAAGUGUUUUUUGUAGGAGAGUGAAGAAAAUUUUAGCUACAGGUGUUGCGACUUCACGGUUAAAGGGGGGGGGUUGUACCAGCUAAUGUGUCUUCGCCUAUUUUUCCUGGGUUGGCGUGGAGCUAUGCUAAUGUAGGUGAUCUUAUCUUUAAAGCCACUGCGGGCCAGGGCCUCGUUGUAAUAGGGGGCUGCGGCAUUAAAGAUAUCUUCGGUAGCGGACAGGCUAGAUAUUCUAAUUGAGACACUUUUCAUUAGGUUGUCUAAUAUAUUUUUGGGGUGGUUAGAAUUAAUGUCUAUAUAUCUAAGGGAUUCAUUUGGUUUAUGGUACGGGUAAUAAAGGGAGGUAUUUAAGUCGAGGGUAACGUCAAGGAAGUUAGCUUUGGUUAAGUUCGAAUCUAAGGUAAUCCUGUAUGUGUAUGUAUAUAUAUGAGUGUGUGUGUUUAUGGGUGUGUAUAUUCUUUUUAUAUAUAUGUGUGUAGAUAUGUGCGUUCGUGUGCUUGCAUAUAGUCUUCUUAUUUACCUAAAACUCUAUUCUAUUAUUCUAUUUAUUCAUUUAUCUACUUUAUCACUGAUUCUUUUGACCACUCCCCUAAGAAAGACUGUUUGCGCCAUGCCUACCCCAAAAGUCCCCCACCACCACCCCUUUAAAUCUGCCUAAAUGUAUAAAUGCCAAAACUAUUCUUGACACAAAGCUUCCUGAUGAUUUCAUUUGAAUGAAACAGUUCUAGUCCUGUAGAAGCUCCUUCUAUAAAAUAAAUUAAUUUACUCUGCUAUGUAUUGAGUACCUUAUUUACUGUGGUUUACCCCGACUCAGCCCGGGACCUACAUAUAUAUAUGUAUGUAUAUAUAUAUAUAUAUAUAUAUAUAUAUAUAUAUAUAUAUAUAUAUAUAUAUAUAUAUAUAUAUUUUACAUAUAUAUACAUAUAUAUAUAUAUUAUAUACAUAUGUACACAAACACGUAUAUAUGUAUGUAUAUAUAUACAUGUAUAUAUAUAUGUAUAUAUAUAUAUAUAUAUAUAUAUAUAUAUAUAUAUUUACACACACACAAAUAUAUGUAAAGGUAUAUAUAUAUAUAUAUAUAUAUACACACGUACAUAUAUAUGUAAAGGUAUAUAUAUCUCUCUAUAUAUAAACGGCAGUUUGUCUGUGCGUGUUUCUGUGUGUCUGUUUUCUCGUACCCUCACCCUGACCACGGCUUUCAACCGAUUCUGAUGAAACUUGACACACACAUAGCCCAAUGUCAUAAUUCAAAACUAACGCAGCGAAAAUUUUGAAAAGUUCCCCCAGUUCUGAAAAAAAUCGAUAAAUUCGACAUGGGGUCGAGAAUAAAAAAAAACAAACCACAGACUGUCUAGGGGACGCAACUCAACCUUUUUUUACUCCCAAAAAACAAUUUACCAUAAUUUUUUUUCAAUUUUUUUGCUAUUUUUUGGCUAUAACUCUCUAAAGAUGCUUUAUAGUUAUUUCCCUUACAAACCUGAGCAACGCCGGGCGAUACUGCUAGUAUAUAUAUAUAUAUAUAUAUACACUCGCACAUGCACACUCACAUAAGUACACAUACAUAAUACAUGCAUUCAUGCACGCAGCAGCACUUGCUGACACACACAUGAACGCAUGCAUACAUACACACACACACACGUUCAUACACUUGUUUGUCCCGCUUCGAUAAGAAGGGACUUGUAUGUAGUCGCUCGACUUGUAAAUCGCAGAAACCACAGCCAAAUCUCCCUCAAAUGACAAUCUUCUCCUUUCAUACCAUAUCUAGUAACACAUUGACUGUUAUAGGGACGGGGUCCCUUAACGAGGCGCCUCUGUGUGUGUGUGUGUGGGGGGGGGGUGUCGAUUGAAGCAUUGAGUGGCACUCCGUCGGUUACGACGACCACCGUUCCAGUUGACCAUGUGAUCAACGGAACAGUCUGCUCUUGAGAUUAACCCCGGAAGGAUGAAAGGCAAAGUCGACCUCGGCGGAAUUUGAACUCUGAACGUAGCGGCAGACGAAAUACCUAUUUCUUUACUACCCACAAGGGGGCUAAACACAGAGGGGACAAACAAUGACAAACGGAUUAAGUCGAUUACAUCGACCCCAGUGCGUAACUGGUACUUAUUUAAUCGACCCCGAUAGGAUGAAAGGCAAAGUCGAUAUCGGCGGAAUUUGAACUCAGAACGUAGCGGCAGACGAAAUACCGCUAAGCAUGUCGCCCGGCGAGCUACCGUUUCUGCCAGUUCGCCGCCUUUUCCCCAACCAAAAUAUUCCCCCCGCACUGUCAGAGGACACUGCUCUAAAUCAGCGCUUUUUUUUCAUUCAUGACCCCAUUUUUCAUCCGAGAUUUUUCGCCACCCCAGGGGUAAAAUAUAAAAUAAAACAUAUAAAUAAAUACAUAAAUCAUUAAUAUUUUUUUUUGCUGAACAAUAUAUAUUCUUUUACUCUUUUACUCUUUUACUUGUUUCAGUCAUUUGACUGCGG